UACGGGGGGAGCAAGCGUUGUUCGGAUUUACUGGGCGUAAAGGGCGCGUAGGCGGUCAGCACAGGCCAGUUGGGAAAUCCCCGGGCUUAACCUGGGAACUGCAUUUGUGACUGCAUGGCUGGAGUGCGGCAGAGGGGGAUGGAAUUCCGCGUGUAGCAGUGAAAUGCGUAGAUAUGCGGAGGAACACCGAUGGCGAAGGCAAUCCCCUGGGCCUGCACUGACGCUCAUGCACGAAAGCGUGGGGAGCAAACAGG
rnacentral:rRNA from 1 species